UACGAAGGGGGCUAGCGUUGCUCGGAAUCACUGGGCGUAAAGCGCACGUAGGCGGACUCUUAAGUCGGGGGUGAAAGCCCAGGGCUCAACCCUGGAACUGCCUUCGAUACUGGGAGUCUUGAGUGUGGAAGAGGUUGGUGGAACUGCGAGUGUAGAGGUGAAAUUCGUAGAUAUUCGCAAGAACACCAGUGGCGAAGGCGGCUCACUGGCCCGGUACUGACACUGAGGUGCGAAAGCGUGGGGAGCAGACAGG
rnacentral:rRNA from 1 species